rnacentral:pre_miRNA from 13 species
ACUUUUGACACUCAAGUACUGGGACCCUAUCGAUAUUGCCUCUGCUUUGUAGAUGGCUGUGAGUAGUGCAAUAUUGCUUAUAGGGUUUCAGUGCUUGGGAACUUCAACAGU